rfam:Escherichia coli str. K-12 substr. MG1655, complete genome.
AGAUGUAAUCCAUUAGUUUUAUAUUUUACCCAUUUAGGGCUGAUUUAUUACUACACACAGCAGUGCAACAUCUGUCAGUACUUCUGGUGCUU